rnacentral:tRNA from 1 species
GCUGAUAUGGCUCAGUUGGUAGAGCGCACCCUUGGUAAGGGUGAGGUCCCCAGUUCGACUCUGAGUAUCAGCACCA